UUUUUAGUAUAGAUAUGUCCCAUGCAAUAUUGGGGGCAUAUUUAUACUAAAA
rnacentral:pre_miRNA from 1 species